rnacentral:rRNA from 1 species
UGAGGAAUAUUGCGCAAUGGGGGCAACCCUGACGCAGCAACGCCGCGAGUGAGGAAGGUUUUCGGACCGUAAAGCUCUGUCGAGCGGGAAGAAAUGCAUGGUGGCUAAUAUCCAUCAUGCUUGACGGUACCGCUAAAGGAAGCACCGGCUAACUCCGUGCCAGCAGCCGCGGUAAUACGGGGGGUGCGAGCGUUGUUCGGAAUUAUUGGGCGUAAAGAGCGUGUAGGCGGCCGAAUAAGUCAGAUGUGAAAUCCCUGGGCUUAACCCAGGACGUGCAUUUGAAACUAUUCGGCUGGAGUAGGGGAGAGGAAAGUGGAAUUCCUGGUGUAGAGGUGAAAUUCGUAGAUAUCAGGAGGAACACCGGUGGCGAAGGCGACUUUCUGGCCCUAUACUGACGCUGAGACGCGAGAGCGUGGGUAGCAAACAG